GACGAACCGUGCGAAUGUUGUUCGGAAUCACUGGGCUUAAAGGGCGCGUAGGCGGGCUGUAAAGUCAGUGGUGAAAUCCUUCAGCUCAACUGGAGAAGUGCCGCUGAUACUGACAGUCUCGAGGGAGGUAGGGGUCGAUGGAACUAAUGGUGGAGCGGUGAAAUGCAUAGAUAUCAUUAGGAACGCCGGUGGCGAAAGCGGCAUCCUGGACCAAUUCUGACACUGAGGAGCGAAAGCCAGGGGAGCAAACGGG
rnacentral:rRNA from 1 species